GUUGAUCCUGCCAGUAGUCAUAUGCUUGUCUCAAAGAUUAAGCCAUGCAUGUCUAAGUAUGAACAGCUAGACAGUGAAACUGCGGAUGGCUCAUUAAACCAGUUAUAGUUCGUGUGGCGAUCUUUUUACUCGGAUAACCAGUAGCAAAUCUAGAGCUAAUACGUGCUUACAUCCCGACUCCUGGAAGGGACGUACUUAUUAGAUAGAAGACCGACCGGGCCUCGUGCCCGCAUUGCGGUGACUCAUGAUAAUUCCACGAAUCGCAUGGCCUCAGUUCCGGCGAUAUGUCACGCGAGUUCCUGCCCUAUCAACUUUCGAUGGUAGGAUAUUGGCCUACCAUGGUGGUGACGGGUAACGGGGAAUCAGGGUUUGAUUCCGGAGAAAAGGCAUGAGAGACGGCCUUUAUAUCCAAGGAAAGCAGCAGGCGCGCAAAUUACCCAAUCCCGACACGGGGAGGUAGUGACAAUAAAUAACAAUACCGGCUUUAUUCAAGGCUGGUGAUUGGAAUGAGAACAAUCUAAAUCCCUUAUCGAGGAUCAAUUGGAGGGCAAGUCUGGUGCCAGCAGCCGCGGUAAUUCCAGCUCCAAUGGCGUAUAUAUAAGUUGUUGCAGUUAAAAAGCUCGUAGUUGGAUUUCGGGCGUCGGCUCCGCCGGUCCGCCGUCAGGUGUGCACUGGCGAGGGCCCGCCUUGCUGCCGAGGACGGGCUCCUGGGCUUGACUGUCCGGGACCCGGAUCCGGCGUGGUUACUGUGAGUAAAUUAGAGUGUUCAAAGCAGGCCUACGCUUGAAUACGUUAGCAUGAAUGACACGAUAGGACUCUGGCCUAUUGCGUCGGUCUGUGGGAAAGAGUAAUGAUUAACAGGGACGGUCGGGGGCAUUCGUAUUCCGUGGUCAGAGGUGAAAUUCUUGGAUUCACGGAAGACGCUCUUCCGCGAAAGCAUCUGCCAAGGACGUUUUCUUAAUCAAGAACGAAAGUUGGGGGCUCGAAGACGAUUAGAUACCGUCCUAGUCUCAACCAUAAACGAUGCCGACUAGAGAUCGGCGGGCGUUUUUAUCAGGACCCCGCUGGCAUCUUCCGAGAAAUCAAAGUUUUUGGGUUCCGGGGGGAGUAUGGCUCGCAAGACUGAAACUUAAAGGAAUUGACGGAAGGGCACCACCAGGCGUGGGGCCUGCGGCUUAAUUUGACUCAACACGGGGAAACUUACCAGGUCCAGACAUAGGUAGGAUUGACAGAUUGACAGCUCUUUCUUGAUUCUGUGGGUAGUGGUGCAUGGCCGUUCUUAGUUCGUGGGUUGCCUUGUCUCCUCAAUUGAGGUAACGAGCGAGACCCCGGCCUGCUAAAUAGCCACGGCCGGCAUCCCGUCGGCCGGGCGGCUUCUUAGAGGGACUAUCGGCGACUAGCCGAUGGAAGUGCGGGGCAAUAACAGGUCUGUGAUGCCCUUAGAUGUUCUGGGCCGCACGCGCGCCACACUGGUGCAAGCAACGAGCGCUUCCUUGGCCGAGAGGCUCGGGUAAUCUCGCAACCUGCACCGUGAUGGGGCUAGACUCUUGCAAUUAUCAGUCUUCAACGAGGAAUGCCUAGUAGGCGCGAGUCAUCAGCUCGCGUCGAUUACGUCCCUGCCCUUUGUACACACCGCCCGUCGCUCCUACCGAUUGGAUGUGCUGGUGAAGCGUUCGGACUGGCGGCGGACGGCGGUUUUCCGCCGGAAGCAGCCGGGAAAUCCGUUGAACCCUCCCAUCUAGAGGAAGGAGAAGUCGU
rnacentral:rRNA from 1 species